ensembl:lncRNA novel transcript
AGUUGCAGGACAAGAACUCAAGACCCAUCAAGUGGCAGGGCCAAAAAAGCUGUAACACCAACAGGGCUGAAACAUGCCCCCUGCUUGCCACGUUGAAGGUGAAGAGAAGGAGGUAAACUACUGUCAAAUCACUGUAACUUGAGGAGUUUUGGUGUUUCACCUUGCUGAACAGGUGUAUGGAAAGCCCAAGUCGUUUGGUAAACCUCUCAACUUUUGACAGGCCACAAACUCCAAACUGGAUCUCCUGUGGUAGGCAGUAGAAUAUCUAUGAGUCAUCAGUGUCCUGAGAAGCUAAACGUCCUACUAAGGAUCCUGCAAAGGGAAAACAGAAGAGGAACUUGCACUUUUUGAGAACUUGCUGUGUGCCAUAAGCCUAAGUCCCUAUGUGGGAAGGAUUCUACCCACACAUGACAGAGGAGGAGACUGAAGCAUGAAAAAGAAAUGGCGUUUUGCUGGAGAAAGCAGCAUAGCGGAAUGUAAAGCGGUAAAGCGUGUAUGCUCUGGAGCCACAGACCUAGAUGGUGAAGUCUAGCUCUGGUACUUGACAGAUCCCAUUCUCCAUCAUCUCCACCCUGCUCUGUGACCCAGUCGGCUGCUCUGCUUGAACGACAUCAACAAGCUUCCUGCAUCCUCAUGUCUAGCUGAACUCAACCAGUGGGAAGUACCAGCAGGAGAUCAAAAGAA